CUACGGGGCGCUCCAGUCGAGAAUCUUUUGCAAUGCGCGAAAGCGUGACAAUGCGACGCCGUGUGAGCGAUGAAGGUCUUCGGAUUGUAAAGCUCUGUCAGCUUGGAUGAAAGCACUGGUACGAACAAUACCGGUGUCUGACGGUACAGGCAGAGGAAGCCACGGCUAACUCCGUGCCAGCAGCCGCGGUAAUACGGAGGUGGCAAGCGUUGUUCGGAUUGAUUGGGUGUAAAGGGUAUGUAGGUGUCCUUACAAGUCUUUCUUGAAAUACUCUGGCUCAACCAGAGACCCGGGAGAGAAACUGUUUGGAUUGAGUACUGGAGAGGAAAGCGGAAUUCCCGGUGUAAGGGUGAAAUCUGUAGAUAUCGGGAGGAACACCAGUGGCGAAAGCGGCUUUCUGGCCAGAUACUGACACUGAAAUACGAAAGCAAGAGGAGCAAACAGGAUUAGAUACCCCUGUAGUC
rnacentral:rRNA from 1 species